rnacentral:rRNA from 1 species
AGUGAACGCUGGCGGUAGGCCUAACACAUGCAAGUCGAACGGCAGCACAGUAAGAGCUUGCUCUUACGGGUGGCGAGUGGCGGACGGGUGAGGAAUACAUCGGAAUCUACUUUUUCGUGGGGGAUAACGUAGGGAAACUUACGCUAAUACCGCAUACGACCUACGGGUGAAAGCAGGGGAUCUUCGGACCUUGCGCGAUUGAAUGAGCCGAUGUCGGAUUAGCUAGUUGGCGGGGUAAAGGCCCACCAAGGCGACGAUCCGUAGCUGGUCUGAGAGGAUGAUCAGCCACACUGGAACUGAGACACGGUCCAGACUCCUACGGGAGGCAGCAGUGGGGAAUAUUGGACAAUGGGCGCAAGCCUGAACCGGCCAUACCGCGUGGGUGAAGAAGGCCUUCGGGUUGUAAAGCCCUUUUGUUGGGAAAGAAAAGCAGCAGGUUAAUACCCCGCUGUUCUGACGGUACCCAAAGAAUAAGCACCGGCUAACUUCGUG